UCAGAGGGAAAAAGACUGAGUUCGGCAAUGGCAACAGGUACCUAAUUGUUUGUCUCUCUGUCUUCUGCUUUUUCUUUUGGCUCCCAAGCACUGUGUUGGCUAGAAAGCCUCUGGUCUGGUGCGGUCGAUUGCGGUGGGCAGAUGUGUUUUAAGACCUUGACCGUGGGGAGUAGAGGAUGCCUCAGGCCCCCUGGAGGGAGUCAGGAGGACUCUGCUCCUUUUGGAAACACCGGGAGCCAUGAACUGUGUGUAUAACCCGAUUUCUGUGCCUGAGGCAGGGGUAAACUGUCUGUGUGUUGAUUGCUUUUCUCUGUGUUCUUGGACUUAGACUGUGUGUGUCCAUGGCAAGGGCCAAUUGUCUGUGGGUUGAUUGUCUUUCUCUGUGUUUAUUGUUGUUGGUUUUCUCAGGGGCUGAUUAAUCUCUUUGAGAUUGUUUUAUUGACUCAUCAGCCCACCCAGGAUGAUACCCAACAACUCCUGAGAGUGUUCUUCAUGACCAAAAAGUGAGAGAGGAUAAUGCAGAAAGCCAGAAAGUACGUCCCCUCAGACACAGGGGCACAAUCAAUUGACCAGCCUGUCAUCAACCCGGGAUGAUAUCCAAUAACUCAAGAGAGUGUUCUUCAUGACUGAAGAGUGAGAGAGGAAGCCAGAAAGUACGUCCCCUCAGACACAGGGGCACAAGCAAUUGAUCAGGCUGUCAUCAACAGCGGGGUCUUCCCCUGACUAGACCUGACUGGGAUUUUAAUACGUCAGAAGGUGAGGGGUACCUGAAGGUCUACCACCAGGCUCCAUUGGCAGGUCUCAAGGAGGCCGCAGGACGACCCACACAUUUGGCAAAGGUAUGUGAAGUUAGACAGGGAUCAGAUGAGUCACCUGCUGCCUUUCUAGGGCAACUCAUGGAGGCAUUCUGUCAAUAUACACCCUAUGACCCCAAGCUACCGUGACUAUGGCUUUUAUAGACCAGGCUAGUAGAGAUAUCAGGAAAAAGCUUCAGAGGCUAGAGGGACUACAGCAUAAGUUGUUGAUGGGUUUAGUAUAGGUUGCUGAGAAAGUCUACCAUAACAUGGAGACAGAGGAGGAGAAAGAGCAAAGAAAGAAAAAGGAAGAGGAUGAAAGGGAGAUGAAUUAAAAAAAAAAAAACGCAACAGAAUAGGAAUUUGUAGAGAAUCUUGGCUACAAUGGUUAGGGAAAGCAGAGAAGAGAGAUUCCAACCAGAGAGAGUCAGGAAAGGGCCAGUGUGGAUAUUGCAAGGAGAGGGGCCACUGGGCCUGAGAGUGCCCCCAACAAAUGGAAGUUGGGGGCAGGAAAUUCCAGGCCUUGGGAAAAGCGCCCCCAAACAUCUAAAGUGUUAGCCCUGGGGGAAGACAGUGAUUAGGGAAGACAGGCUUUGGACCCCCCUUCCUGAGCCCAGGGUAACUCAGUGUGGAAGGGAGAGCCACCCAAUUCUUGGUGGACAGAGGUGCUCAAUACUCGGUCCUUCUCCAAGCCAAUGGCCCUGUUUCCAAGAAAAAAAAUCUCGGGUCCAAGGAACCACUGGCACCAAAAUGUAUUCAUGGAUUACCUGAAGAACAGUAGACCUAGGGAUGGGCUGGGUAUCCCAUUCAUUUACGUUCAUCCCAGACUGUCCCUACCCUCUGUUGGGGCGAGACUUACUCUCCAAGAUGGGGGCCCAGAUACACUUCCUGCCUGCUGGGCUGCAACUAACUGGCCCAAAAGGAGAACCCACGGGUGGAGGAGAGACCUCUCCUACUGACCCCUACUGGGAGCUGAGGCUACCUGCUGAACAGACAGGAGCAGUUUUCUCUCCAUGAAGGUCAGAGACAAGUGGGUGCUGUUGUGGUGAAUGGCACAAAUGUCAUCUGGGCUGAACCUCUAUCCCCUGUCCCCCAACCCCCAGCACAUCAGCACAGAAAGCGGAGCUAAUUGCCCUCACCAAAGCCUUGGAACUUGGGGCCGGCAAGAAAAAUAACAUCUACACGGUAGCAGGUAUGCCUUUGCCAUAGCCCAUGUCCAUGGGGCUAUAUACCAAGAGAGAGGAUGGCUCAUAUCAGAGGGAAAAGAAAUAAAAAAACAAGCAGAAGAUCUUGGAUCUUUUGGAUGCCCUGAUGAAGCUGGCAACUGUACCUCAGAGGUUCCACAUUAGUACCAUGUUGGAGACUGGGUAUAUAUUAAGAGACAUCAUGUUGAAAACUUGGAAGCAAAGUGGAAAGGGCCGUUCCUAGUGUUGUUGACCACCCUGACCUCCGUUAAAGUGGAUGGAUUAACUGCCUGGGUUCAUGUAACUCAUGUCAGACUAGCACCUGUGCCUGAUGUCAACUGGAUAGCAGCCAGACACCUGAGCAACCCCCUUAAGCUCAAGAUCACCUGCCCUUCUGCAAGGCCAGAGAAACCAUGAGAUGGCUAUGGUGUAUCUUCCGGAGCUGAGCCUCAGCAACCCCCACACCUCUACCAAUGUGAUUUGGCAAGUAUUGUCAGCCACUGGGGAUGUAGCUAGGUCCACUACAGAGGAGCACCCACCUUAUAUCUGGUGGCGGGACCUUGUCUUUGAUCUCUGUAAGUUAGCAGUGGACAUUAACUCCUAGGAUAUCCCCACCCUAGAGACACAGGGGGAGGGACUACCUGAAUGUAGGGGACGAGGGACUUGUGAAUCUAAACCAUGUCCCAGAAGCGGCCUUGGAGGGCAGGGCUUAGGGUGCGGACACCCAAAGUUGAGGAGUAACCCCCAUAUAUGUAUGCCCCUGAGGUGGGAGAAGCCAGCAGCAGGCCCAUCAGUGUUGGGGGACCAAUCACUUUUUCUGUGCUACCUGGGGGUGUGAAACAUCGGGAAGCACAUACUGGAGACCAUUCCAGGGGUCAAGAUUCAAUGGCCAAGGUGAGAGAAGGGCUAGCCAAGCAGAAGAGAGGAAGAGAACAGAGUCGGGGCUGGUUCGAGUCUUGGUUUAACUCCUCCCCUUGGUUAACCACCCUCAUAUCCACCUUGUUAGGGCCCUUAAUUGUUCUCCUGCUAUUGUUGACAUUUGAACCCUGCAUAUUGAACAAGCUUAUAUAGCCUUCAUAAAAGGGAGAAUAGGAGCAGUGUAGCUGAUGGUCCUGCACCAACAAUAUGAGUUACUUACCCAAGACCCUUGAGUGUAGCUCCAGAAUUGGAGCUUGUACAAGAAAAGGGUGAAUGAGGGACCCUAAGGGGUUGUGCAGUCCCACACCCUCCCUAAAGCUUCCUUCUCCCAUCUGGCAUCAAGGCUAGGCCAAGUUCCAUCCUCCACCCACAAGAACAUUCUUGAGUAAAAAGUUCUCAGAAGAUACAGAUAGUCAUCUGACCCUCUGGAAAGUCCCAGGUAGGGUUCAAAUGUGUGUCCUGCUUGCUAGCCAAUAGAUUUAAAGGUCAAUAUGCUUAGCCAAUAGUUUGAACUAUAACCUUGCUGAUGUCACCUGUGUCCCUAAAAAGUAUAAAAACUGCUUGUAAUACCUAUUUGGGGUCACCUUGUCACUCACCUUGAGGGACUGAGUGAGGGUUGACCCUAACACACAGGAAAAUAAACCUCUUGCUUUUGCAUCGA